UUAUGAGAGUUUGAUCCUGGCUCAGAACGAACGCUGGCGGCGCGCCUAAUACAUGCAAGUCGAGCGAGAAGGUGUAGCAAUACACUUGUAAAGCGGCGAACGGGUGAGGAAUACAUGGGUAAUCUACCAUCGAGUGGGGAAUAACCAGCCGAAAGGUUGGCUAAUACCGCGUACGCCUCCGGAUCUUCGGGUUCGGAGGGAAAGCCACACUGUGAGUGCGGCGCUCUUUGAUGAGCUCAUGUCCUAUCAGCUUGUUGGUAGGGUAACGGCCUACCAAGGCUUUGACGGGUAGCUGGUCUGAGAGGACGAUCAGCCACACUGGCACUGCGACACGGGCCAGACUCCUACGGGAGGCAGCAGUAAGGAAUAUUGCGCAAUGGGC
rnacentral:rRNA from 1 species